CCUACGGGUGGCUGCAGUGGGGAAUAUUGGACAAUGGGGGCAACCCCGAUCCAGCCAUGCCGCGUGUGUGAAGAAGGCCCUCGGGUUGUAAAGCACUUUCAGUGAGGAAGAACGCCUGGUGGUUAAUACCCAUCAGGAAAGACAUCACUCACAGAAGAAGCACCGGCUAACUCCGUGCCAGCAGCCGCGGUAAUACGGAGGGUGCGAGCGUUAAUCGGAAUUACUGGGCGUAAAGCGCGCGUAGGUGGCUUGAUAAGCCGGUUGUGAAAGCCCCGGGCUCAACCUGGGAACGGCAUCCGGAACUGUCAAGCUAGAGUGCAGGAGAGGAAGGUAGAAUUCCCGGUGUAGCGGUGAAAUGCGUAGAGAUCGGGAGGAAUACCAGUGGCGAAGGCGGCCUUCUGGACUGACACUGACACUGAGGUGCGAAAGCGUGGGUAGCAAACAGGAUUAGAUACCCGAGUAGUC
rnacentral:rRNA from 1 species